UUUCAAGCUUCAAGAUUGCUAUUUAGCAAAUGUUGUGUGCCAAAGCUAUACUAUAGGUUGAGAAACUUUGCCAGCAUUGUCCACCAGUUCAAGAAUCUCUGUUCUGCUCCUAACAAUCCUAUGAAAAACCUCUCUAAUUUGCAUCUGCAAAGGCACCAAUCCUUCUUCAAUUCUCCAACAAAUCUCCGCCAGUUCUGCCACCUGCGCCGUCACCUCAUCCAUCUUCUCCGUCUCCCCCGGAAAUUGGAACCCAUCAGUAAAUUCAAUUAAGCUCUGCCCCAACUUCUCCAUCUUCUGCAAUUCCUCCAGCAACCCAGCUGAACAUUUUUUCUCCUUCUUCUUCCACUCCUCUGCAAUCCUCUCUUGCAGCGCAAUUAUGCUAUGUGCCCAGGCCAAGUGCCUGGGAAUCUGAAAAUGAGUAGCCAAUCCACUCCUCUCUUGACACGGCACUGCAGCCACCAGAGCCCACAUCACAAACACCAUAACAGAGCUCAAUAUAUAAACAGGUGAAGCCAAUCCCGUGGGUUC
rnacentral:misc_RNA from 1 species